GAUGAACGCUAGCGGCAGGCUUAAUACAUGCAAGUCGUACGGGAUCCGAGGUAGCAAUACUUUGGUGAGAGUGGCGCACGGGUGCGUAACACGUAUGCAACCUACCUUUAACCGGGACACAACCUCGAGAAAUUGAGGCUAAUAUCCCAUAACACUGCGAGAUGGCAUCAUUUUGCAGUUAAAACUCCGGUGGUUAUUGAUGGGCAUGCGCGACAUUAGCUAGUUGGUGAGGUAACGGCCCACCAAGGCUACGAUGUCUAGGGGGUUCUGAGAGGAUUAUCCCCCACACUGGUACGUGAGGACACGGACCGACGACUCCUACCGGGAGGGCUCG
rnacentral:rRNA from 1 species